CAUAAAAAUAGUGCCUCUCCAAAUCUCGCAUACUAUAAUUUAUUAUAAGUGCCACUCAAAUGCGAAUUACGAUCUAGCUAUACGCAUUUACGAAAACAGCGUUCACCUACGAAAACAACAAGAAGGGCGUUGGCUAAAUUGUUAGACCUCUGGUCUAGGAAAAGAGAAGACACCAUGUUUAAAAGACUUCUUGUGGACCCUUUGAUGACUGCUAAACUUUAGUGAUGCUCAUUAUGCGGGGUUUGGCAGCUUUUGUCUUAACGGCUUAUUUUGAACUUGGUUAACUAUAAGACUUAUAGCUCCUGUAACUAUUAAAUCUUAUGUUUAUUAUUGAUAUUUU